rnacentral:rRNA from 1 species
UACGUAGGGUGCGAGCGUUGUCCGGAAUUAUUGGGCGUAAAGAGCUCGUAGGCGGUCUGUCGCGUCGGUCGUGAAAACUUGGGGCUUAACCCUGAGCUUGCGGUCGAUACGGGCAUGACUGGAGUUCGGCAGGGGAGACUGGAAUUCCUGGUGUAGCGGUGGAAUGCGCAGAUAUCAGGAGGAACACCGAUGGCGAAGGCAGAUCUCUGGGCCGUAACUGACGCUGAGGAGCGAAAGCGUGGGGAGCGAACAGG